rnacentral:rRNA from 1 species
GUCUUCUUGUUAUUAUUUAAGAAGUCUGACCUGCCCGGUGAGUAUAUUUUUAACGGCCGCGGUAUUUUGACCGUGCAAAGGUAGCAUAAUCAUUAGUCUUUUAAUAGAGGACUGGAAUGAAGGGUUUGACGAGGUGUUGACUGUCUCUUAUUUGAAUUUUUGAAUUUGACCUUUUAGUUAAAAGGCUAAAAUUUUAUUGGUAGACGAGAAGACCCUAUAGAGCUUUAUAAUCAUUAUUUUGAAUUGUUUUUGAUUAUUUUCUUUUUUAUUAUUAUUGAUUAUUUUGUUGGGGUGACAUUUGAAUUUAAUUAACUUUUAUUUUUUUUUAUAUCACUGAUGUGUGUUUAUUUAUGAUCCAUUAAUGAUGAUUAUUAGAAUAAGUUACCUUAGGGAUAACAGCGUAAUCCUUCUUUGGAGUUCCAAUUUACAGAAGGGCUUGCGACCUCGAUGUUGGAUUAAGAUUAUUAUUAGGUGUAGCCGCUUAGUUAAUAGGUCUGUUCGACCUUUAAAUUCUUACAUGAUCUGAGUUCAGACCGG